UUCAAAUGAAGACAUGAUGGCGGACUGGUCGUAUCUUUCAAAUGAAGACAUGAUGGCGGACUGGUCGUAUAACGACCAGUCCGCCAUCAUGUCUUCAUUUGAAAUC
rnacentral:pre_miRNA from 1 species